rnacentral:rRNA from 1 species
UACGAAGGGUCCAAGCGUUAUCCGGAUUUAUUGGGUUUAAAGGGCGCGUAGGCGGCUUAACAAGUCACUUGUGAAAUCUCUGGGCUUAACCCAGAACGGCCAAGUGAAACUGUUAUGCUAGAGUGCAGAAGGGGCAAUCGGAAUUCUUGGUGUAGCGGUGAAAUGCGUAGAUAUCAAGAGGAACACCUGAGGUGAAGACGGGUUGCUGGGCUGACACUGACGCUGAGGCGCGAAAGCCAGGGGAGCAAACGGG